rnacentral:rRNA from 1 species
CGGACGGGUGAGUGGCGGACGGCUGAGUAAGACGUGGGUGACCUUUCCUCGGGUGGGGGACAACUCCGCGAAAGCGGGGCUAAUACCGCGUACGUCCCAGGGGGUAAAGUCUUUGGGAGAAAGCAGGAAUGCGCGCGAGGGCGGGCCCACGGCCCAUCAGGUAGUUGGGGGGGUAAUGGCCUCCCAAGCCAAUGACGGGUAGCUGGUCUGAGAGGAUGACCAGCCAGACUGGGACUGCGACACGGCCCAG